rnacentral:misc_RNA from 1 species
GAAAUGCGAUAAGUAGUGUGAAUUGCAGAAUUCAGUGAAUCAUCGAAUCUUUGAACGCACAUUGCGCCCCUUGGUAUUCCAUGGGGCAUGCCUGUUCGAGCGUCAUCUACACCCUCAAGCUCUGCUGGGUGUUGGGCGUCUUUGUCCCGCCUCCGCGCGCGGACUCGCCCCAAAUUCAUUGGCAGCGGUCCUUGCCUCCUCUCGCGCAGCACAUUUCGCUUCUCGAGGCGUUGCGGCCCGCGUCCAGAAAGCAAUCGUUACCGUCUUUGACCUCGGAUCAGGUAGGGAUACCCGCUGAACUUAAGC